CAAUGCCAGGCCAGGGGACUGAGUGGAACAAUCACCAUCAGAAUGUAGGACAAAGACCAAAUUAAAAUCUUUCCCUCAUGCAUGGCACAGACCAUCUUGAAGUCUUGAUUAAAAGGAGCACAGACAGGUUGAAACCUCCUGAAGAAAAUGUCUGAUGCCUUAGCUCUUUGUUUUCAACAGAUCCUAAAGAAGAUAAUAGGGACUAAAGUGCUGAUGGAUGAAGUGAUGAGAGAAACUUCCUUUUCUCUUGCUGAGACCAAGUUCAUAACAGGGGACGUCGACACCACAAUUAUCCAAAACGUAAAUAAAGCCCAUGAGAAGAUUCUAGCUAAGAAAGAUAAUGUAUCAGGUGUUAUUUUGCCAGAAUUUGAACAUUACCAUGAAGGAACUGACAGUUAUAAACUAGCUGGUUUAGCCAGAGGUGGGGAACAAUUGGCUAAAUUAAAGAGAAAUUAUGUCAAACCAGUGGAAUUACUGAUAGAAAUAGUUUCCCUUCAAACUUCCUUUGUUACUUUGGAUGAAGCUAUUAAGAUAACCAACAAAUGUGUAAAUGAUAUUUCAUAUACCAUUGUCCCUGGAAUUGAACAUACCCUUGCUUAUAUCAUCAGAAAGCUGGAUGAGAGAGAGCCAGAAGAGUUCUAUAGAUUAAAGAAAAUAAAGAAGGAAAAGAUUCUCCAGGAAAAUUGGAGAAGGACUUGGAGCAAUAGAGGGCAGCUGGAGAGGUAA